GGUAGUCCACGCCGUAAACGAUGUCGACUUGGAGGUUGUGCCCUUGAGGCGUGGCUUCCGGAGCUAACGCGUUAAGUCGACCGCCUGGGGAGUACGGCCGCAAGGUUAAANCUCAAAUGAAUUGACGGGGGCCCGCACAAGCGGUGGAGCAUGUGGUUUAAUUCGAUGCAACGCGAAGAACCUUACCUACUCUUGACAUCCAGAGAACUUAGCAGAGAUGCUUUGGUGCCUUCGGGAACUCUGAGACAGGUGCUGCAUGGCUGUCGUCAGCUCGUGUUGUGAAAUGUUGGGUUAAGUCCCGCAACGAGCGCAACCCUUAUCCUUUGUUGCCAGCGGUUAGGCCGGGAACUCAAAGGAGACUGCCAGUGAUAAACUGGAGGAAGGUGGGGAUGACGUCAAGUCAUCAUGGCCCUUACGAGUAGGGCUACACACGUGCUACAAUGGCGCAUACAAAGAGAAGCGACCUCGCGAGAGCAAGCGGACCUCAUAAAGUGCGUCGUAGUCCGGAUUGGAGUCUGCAACUCGACUCCAUGAAGUCGGAAUCGCUAGUAAUCGUAGAUCAGAAUGCUACGGUGAAUACGUUCCCGGGCCUUGUACACACCGCCCGUCACACCAUGGGAGUGGGUUGCAAAAGAAGUAGGUAGCUUAACCUUCGGGAGGGCGCUUACCACUUUGUGAUUCAUGACUGGGGUGAAGUCGUAACAAGGUAACCGUAGGGGAACCUGC
rnacentral:rRNA from 1 species